CAUCCUGGGGCUGGAGAAGGUCCCAAGGGUUCGGCUGUUCGCCGAUUAAAGUGGCACGCGAGCUGGGUUCAGAACGUCGUGAGACAGUUCGGUCCCUAUCUGUUGUGGGCGUUGGAAGUUUGAGUGGGCCUGACUCUAGUACGAGAGGACCGAGUCGGACGGACCGCUGGUGUACCAGUUGUAUCGCCAGAUGCACCGCUGGGUAGCCACGUCCGGUUGAGAUAAGCACUGAAAGCAUCUAAGUGCGAAGCUCGCCACAAGAUUAGACUUCAUAGGGUCGUCAAAGACUAUGACGUUGAUAGGUUGCAGGUGUACGCAUAGAGAUAUGUUCAGCCGAGCAAUACUAAUUACCCAUUAGCUUUCUAAU
rnacentral:rRNA from 1 species